UAUUCCUCUAACUCCUCCCUUCCUGCCUCUCUCCCAGGCCUUCCCUCCUCUCCCCAGCCUUUUCCCAACAUCUCCUCCCCCGAUUCAGUCAGAAAGGCUUUCAACCAACAAAUGUUUGAGCGUCUCUUACAUUCUUGGUGCCAGGGCAGCAACCACUGACAAGACACUGGCCUGAUGGCCCUCAGAGCCUGGGGCAGAGUCGGGAAAACCAGGGAGACCCACAAUAAACAAACAGUAACUACGUAACUAAGUGCAGAGACCGGGUGAUAUGAUAGGGUAAGUGGACAGGAAGGAAGGUCUCUUUGAAGAGGUGAGUUUUAGGCCAAGAGCUGGAAGUUCUAGGCUAAACCCACCAGGUGAGGAGUCACAGCAGGCACAAAGGCCCUAAGGCAGGAAAGAGCGAGUUGGGUUUGAAGAACUGGAAGGUCACUGCCUGGGGCCUGGUACACGAAGGGGAAGGAGAGGAAAUGAGAUGACAGGUGGAGGCUGGGCUAGGUCACUUAGAGCUCUGUAGAUUGUGGUAGGGAGGGGAUGUUUUCUUCAAAGUACAACACGAAAGAAACCUUCAUAAGGUUUGAAGCAGUUGCUUUGAUGGUGGUUUGUGCUGCUAGGUAGACAAUGGACCUUGUGUGAGAGAGGGAGGCAAGGAAAAACAGGGAGAUCGAUUAAGAGAUGUAGCAGUUUUCUAGAUGGUAGGGCAGUCAUUAGGACAGGUGACCGAGAAGCUUAGAGGUCUGAGGUCCUGGGAGAGGACCCCCUGGUCAGUAGACAAGGAGAACAGGGUCUUUGAGUGUGGGGGCUCCAAAGUACAAGGAAAUGAAAUCUCAGCACUUCUGUUCACAGUGGGUGGUUUCCCUUCCGGGAAGUUUCACCUUCCUGAUUCUGGGGCUUUUGUGAGAUGGAACUUGGGGGAAGAAAGCGUGGGGCAUAAUAUUGGUGAGACCUGCUUGCCUUCUUUGGGGUCACCCUCUCACCUUCUCUCUAGGGGCAGAACUGGGUGGGGGGUGGGGAGAGAUUCUGCUCCAGCUCAGAAGCACCUCUGCACUAGCAGGGGAGGGAGGGAGUCAGUGAUCCCCCAACUGCCAGCCUUUACCCCUAAGACAGGUGCUCUGUUUCCUCCUUCCCACCUUGAGGCCUCCAGCCCUCCCUCCCUCCACUGCCUGCUUGGGCCUUUGUUGGGGGAAGUCAGGGGAGUUGAGGACUCUGUUGAAUGGGACAGAUCUCUUAUGGCUGAAGUGUAGGGGGGCUUAGUAGGGGAACAGAGGCCCUUUCUAGCCCAAGGGGUCAGAGAGUUCUGGAUUAAAUCUUGCCACAUACCCAGGAAGGCCCUGCCCAGAGGGGUGAGCAGUAGCAGCCUAGUGCCAUCUCCUACAGUCCCUCUUCCCCAUUUAUUGUCCUGUACACACACCACCCACCUCUGCCUCCAGGACAAGCCCUCAAGCUGCCAGUUUCUCAGCACCUGCUAUGCUGAGGGCUUAACAGGGAUCAUCUCCAUUUCCAUACACCCUCCUUAGGCAUAGUAUUCAAUUUUGCAGAUGAGAACAGGUCUACACAGUUCAGGAAAUCCAAGCUAUCUGACCCUCAAAGCAGAGCUCAGGUCCCUAAACUGCUUCAUCCAGGCAAACUGGAUCUGAAGAAGGUUGGGGCUGAAAGAUGAAUGAAUGCAUGCAUGCAUGCAUGAAUGAAUGAGUGAAAUGAAGGGGCUUGUGGAUGGUGGGAGAGGUGGACAUCAAAGAGAAAUUGGCCCAAGCCCUCCCCAGGCGUGGCCGCGCUCCCAGGGUCCAGGUGAAAGGUGGAGGAAAGGAGAUGGGGGGCAGCCUGGUCUAGAGGAAGGGUGUGAGGAUCUCAAAGAACAUCCUUGAUUGGCCCCCAAGGUCGGCGCCUAGGUCUGGGCCCCGCGUCCCUUCCUGCCGAGCGCCCACAGGCUCUAGUCCUUACUAGGCGCUCAAUAAAAAGUAGGUGAAAUUUUGGCUCGUCUACGGCUGUUAGCGGGCACUCAGAAAAUGUUGACAAACGGCUGGCUCUCCGCCGCUGAAGGGUCUCCACCUGCGGCCCACUAGACUCGAGGGGCGGUAUCCUGUCCCACCUCCCCCCGCGCUGCCUAAUCAGCCCCUCGCAGGACUCGGCGGCGCGAGGGAACGCCCGGGGCGGGGCCAGCUUGGGGCGGGGCCUGCGAGCCCGAGGAGGAGGGGCCGGGCCCGCCGGGGUCGGUGAUCUACACCCGGAGAGUUCGCGCUUCGAGCGUUGCGCUCGGAGGGGCUCGAGCCGUGGCGCGGAUGCUGGAAGUUCACAUCCCGUCUGUGGGACCUGAGGCCGAGGAUCCCAGGCAAAGCCCAGAGAAAGGCCACAUGGUGUUCCGAGUGGAAGUAUUGUGCCGCGGGCGCAGGCACAUCGUGCAGAGGCGCUACAGCGAGUUCCACGCGCUGCACAAGAGGAUCAAGAAACUGUACAAAGUGCCCGACUUCCCCUCAAAACGCCUGCCCAACUGGAGGACCAGAGGACUGGAGCAGCGGCGGCAGGGCUUGGAGGCCUAUAUCCAGGGUGUCCUGUACCUGAACCAGGAUGUGCCCAAGGAAUUACUGGAAUUCCUGAGCCUUCGGCACUUCUCCACAGACCCUAAGGCCAGCAACUGGGGCCCGACAGCCGCUCACAGCGGGUCUCCUCUUUUCAGCGCCUUGGGGGAGUUCCUGCCCAAGAACUGCAGGCAAGUGGAAGCCCCGCCCCCAAUUCCCCGCCCGACUCAGGCUGCCCCCUAGUGGCCUUGUGCCUGCUGGUGUCUGGCCUCUCCCAGCAGUCCAGCUCCCAGCUCCACCACCGGCCUGUCAUCAGCUUCUGCAUGGAUCCCUACGUUUGCAUUCCAUCCCCAGAGCCUCUGUCCAACAUGGUGGUGAAUGGCGUGCUCCAGGGCCUCUAUGGCUUCAGCACCAGCUCAGCUAAAGC